UUGGAGUGAAGCAAAGCGACAUCUUUGGAGUGGAAGGUUUGCUGAGGAAAGAAGGGUCAAGCUAUGUUAACAACAAUGCUAUGGAAGUGGAGAACAUGAAAGGUGAAAUAUCAGUUGUCAAGAAGCAAAAUGAGGACCUUGCGCAACAAAAUCAAGUUCUAAACACCAAGUUUGAAGAAACAACACAAUCAUUUAAAAUGAUUGCUUCUUUUUUGGGACAAGUUUUGAAGGAAGUACGCAAAGGGAAUGUUUCAUCGAACCUUUUAGAUGGUGCGGAAUCAGCAAUAAAUAUGAUUACUGAUGAUUCUGGUGGCAAUGGUGACAACCAGGCCGAGAAAUGAGACUUUGACACUAUUGCCAAAUGCAAGAUUAUUGAUGAUUCAAGUGGUAAUAGUAAAUGUAGAUCAAGAGAUGAACAAGUUAUCUUGAAGCUAAGCUAGCAUAACGAUAUGUUUACUUGUUCGUAGUCAGGAAGUUGUUUUUAUUUAGUUUUGGACUAUCUUGUAG